rnacentral:rRNA from 1 species
AACGAACGCUGGCGGCAUGCCUAACACAUGCAAGUCGAACGAGACCUUCGGGUCUAGUGGCGCACGGGUGCGUAACGCGUGGGAACCUGCCCUUAGGUUCGGAAUAACUCCCCGAAAGGGGUGCUAAUACCGGAUAAUGUCUUCGGACCAAAGAUUUAUCGCCUUUGGAUGGGCCGGCGUUGGAUUAGCUAGUUGGUAGGGUAAAAGCCUAACAAGGCGACGAUCCAUAGCUGGUCUGAGAGGAUGAUCAGCCACACUGGGACUGAGACACGGCCCAGACGCCGAGGGGAGGCAGCAGUGGGGAAUAUUGGACAAUGGGAGGAAGCCUGAUACAGCCAUACCGCGUGGGUGAAGAAGGACUUCGGGUGGGAAAGCCCGUUUGUUGGGAAAGAAAAGCAGCAGGUUAAUACCACGCUGGGCGGACGGUACCCAAAGAAUAAGCACCGGCUAACUUCGUG